rnacentral:rRNA from 1 species
AGACGGGGGGUGCUAGCGUUGUUCGGAAUUACUGGGCGUAAAGGGCGCGUAGGCGGCUCUGCGAGUCGGGCGUGAAAUCCCGAGGCUCAACCCCGGAACGGCGCUCGAUACUGCGGGGCUGGAGACCGGAAGAGGAGGGUGGAAUUCCCAGUGUAGAGGUGAAAUUCGUAGAUAUUGGGAGGAACACCGGUGGCGAAAGCGGCUCUCUGGUCCGGUUCUGACGCUGAGGCGCGAAAGCGUGGGGAGCAAACAGGAUUAGAAACCCGAGUAGUCC